rnacentral:tRNA from 1 species
UAAUAUUAGUCAGCUAAUUAAGCUAAUGAGUUCAUACCUCAUAAAUGAAAAAUUUCCUAUU